rnacentral:rRNA from 1 species
ACAUACGACCACAGGCAAAGUGGAUUUCCGGCUCCCGUUCGAUCGCCACACGAGAAAACUUUGACCGGCGGGUGAGUAGGCAGGCGGGUGACCACUGGCGAAUACCCGCUGUUUUAUGUU